AAGGAGCAGAAGAAAGCGGGGGAGGGGAGAGACAAAAGGGAAAACAUGUUAGAGAACAAAUCCAGAUGUCAGUAUCAUAUAGACGUGGUUAUGGCCUUCCCAGAGGCACCGUCUUCUAUCUCUCUUUCGCUCGUUGGAGGUUCACUUGUUGAAGUGCUGACCUGAGUGUGAUUUUUAGCCUGGCUGGCCUGAAGGACUCUCUCAGCUGAGAGAGGUCAUGCUGUUCCUGCAGGAGUGUCAAAUGUACACGAAGAACUCCCCACCUCUAGCUCCUCUUCCUCUUCACCCAGAAUCAUCAGGUUUCAUGCUGCAGCCUCGUGGGUAACAAUCAGCAUUUGCUCUCUGACAGCAUUUGCUCUAAAUGUGUGGCGGUGUGACGGUUGCUGAUCUCUACGUAAAGAUAUAUUAGAUCUAUGCAUAUAUUUACCCAGUUUAGGAUGACUCUAUCUGAACUUUACGGAGCUGAACAUUAACUUUUCCACAUCUUGAUACAUUACAAUCGCGUAUCCUGCGCUCAUCUUGGGGCAGCAACCCCUACAUCCGAGGCUCCUACUCCUUCCUUUUCUAUGUAUUUUACAACCAUUUUGUUUUGCAAACCCCAGUGGUGCAAAAUGAGGAAAAUGACACAGUUUAAAAUUUUUUUAUAUAUAUAAAUAAAAAACUGAAUGGUGUGGUAUGCAUUUCCAGCUGGUGUUUAAUUGGUGUUCAGUUUCGCAGUGUUCCUGAGUCAAUAUUAGCUGAACUACAUUUUGCUGCUGUCACACCUGCAGAUGGUUUGACAACAUUAAACAUUAAAGUCUUUCUUUCUUUCACUAAUGUCUUUGUUAAUUGCCACUCUUCCAUAAAGGCCAGAUUUCUGGAGUGCAUAGCUAAUAGUUGUUCAAUCAAAAAAAAGAUAUUAGACUUGAGCUGUGGAUCUCUGCAGCUCCUCCAGAGGUGCCCCCUGAUUAAGAGUCUCUUUGCCUGGUCUGUCAGUUUAGUUGCUGUCAUCCCCACUUCUCCUUGAUCUGUUUGCUGUUUCUUCAUCUUCAUGACGCUGUUUGUCCACUGAUGUUCUCUAAAAAGCAUCUAAAGCAGGGCCUUCACACAACAACUGGACUGAGACUGAGAUUAAAUUACAGGUUAACAUUCUGUAGUAUUUAGACUUCUGAAGGCAAUCGAUUGCAUGAGAAUUUAUUUAGCGGGGAAAACGUGAAGCACUCUUAUUUCUCAGAAAGAAACCUUUGAAAAUGACGUGUUUUCUCCACUUCACAACGUUAUGUAAUACUUUGUGUUGGCCUGUCACAUAAAAUUUCAAUUAAACACGCUGAAGGUUUCAAAGUGACGAAACGGGUCAAAUGUUUUUAGAUUGUGAGUCCU